rnacentral:lncRNA from 1 species
AUUUUUUCUAAUUUCUGAAAAUUGUGAGAUGAAUAUGUGUGUAAUUGUUUAUGGGGUUGGUGCGUAUCACUGGUAUGUUCAUUUUGAAACUGGUCCGGUGGCCGGACAAGCUCCAUCGGCGACUAUGAAGCAUUCCGGCGGAAACACUUGGGAUUAUUUAUCCUUCUUCACAAAAAAGAGAAAUUAGUGGAUCUAAAAAUGAUAAUUAAAAAUUAAUGGUGAGAAAAGUGUUGGAUUUGCGGUAUAAAUGAAAAUGAAGAUAAAAAAAUAAAGAUGGAAAUGAGAAAGAUGAA